GACGAACGCUGGCGGCGUGCUUAACACAUGCCAGUCGAACGGAAAGGCCCUGCUUUUGUGGGGUGCUCGAGUGGCGAACGGGUGAGUAACACGUGAGUAACCUGCCCUUGACUUUGGGAUAACUUCAGGAAACUGGGGCUAAUACCGGAUAGGAGCUCCUGCUGCAUGGUGGGGGUUGGAAAGUUUCGGCGGUUGGGGAUGGACUCGCGGCUUAUCAGCUUGUUGGUGGGGUAGUGGCUUACCAAGGCUUUGACGGGUAGCCGGCCUGAGAGGGUGACCGGCCACAUUGGGACUGAGAUACGGCCCAGACUCCUACGGGAGGCAGCAGUGGGGAAUAUUGCACAAUGGGCGGAAGCCUGAUGCAGCAACGCCACGUGCGGGAUGACGGCCUUCGGGUUGUAAACCGCUUUCGCCUGUGACGAAGCGUGAGUGACGGUAAUGGGUAAAGAGGCACCGGCUAACUACGUG
rnacentral:rRNA from 1 species